UUAAGGGUGCAGGGCGGAUGCCUUGGCACUAGGAGCCGAUGAAGGACGUGAUAAGCUGCGAUAAGCUUCGGGGAGUUGCACGUAAACUUUGAUCCGAAGAUUUCCGAAUGAGGAAACUCACUUAGAGUAAUGUCUAAGUAUCAUUAAGUGAAUACAUAGCUUAAUGAGGGGAACUCAGGGAACUGAAACAUCUAAGUACCUGAAGGAAGAGAAAGAAAUUCGAUUCCGUAAGUAGCGGCGAGCGAACGCGGAUUAGCCCAAACCAAUAAAGUUUUCUUUAUUGGGGUU
rnacentral:rRNA from 1 species